CCCUCACAUCUCCGGAUGGAUCCAGUAACAGGAAUCCCCCAGAGAGAUGUCCCCGUCCUCUGUAUUCCCGGGACUCCAUACAGGAACAUCAGGAGAUCCCUCAGGAGGAUCAGGUUGAGGGAUUGAUUCUCAUUAAAGUUGAAGAAGAGCCAUGUGUGAGGGGUUAUGAUUGGUGUAAAGAGGAGGAAGAUCCUUCAGAGAUCAGCACAGAUACCAGAGCCACUCAGACAGAUGUCAAAUCUGAGGAGGAGGAAGAAGUGCAUAUGGACAUUAA